rnacentral:rRNA from 1 species
UACGUAGGGGGCAAGCGUUGUCCGGAAUCAUUGGGCGUAAAGCGCGUGUAGGCGGUCCGGUAAGUCCGCUGUGAAAGUCGGGGGCUCAACCCUCGAAUGCCGGUGGAUACUGUCGAGCUAGAGUGCGGAAGAGGCGAGUGGAAUUCCUGGUGUAGCGGUGAAAUGCGCAGAUAUCAGGAGGAACACCAAUUGCGAAGGCAGCUCGCUGGGACGUUACUGACGCUGAGACGCGAAAGCGUGGGGAGCAAACAGG